rnacentral:rRNA from 1 species
CCUACGGGAGGCAGCAGUGAGGAAUAUUGGUCAAUGGACGCAAGUCUGAACCAGCCAUGCCGCGUGAAGGAAGACGGCCCUAUGAGUUGUAAACUGCUUUUGUACGGGGGUAAACUCCAAUAUGCGUAUCUUUCUGAACGUAUCGUACGAAUAAGGAUCGGCUAACUCCGUGCCAGCAGCCGCGGGAAUACGGAGGAUUCAAGCGUUAUCCGGAUUGAUUGGGUUUAAAGGGUGCGUAGGCGGUCGGAUAAGUUAGAGGUGAAAUCCCGAGGCUCAACUUCGGAAUUGCCUCUGAUACUGUUAGGCUAGAGAGCAGUUGCGGUAGGCGGAAUGUAUGGUGUAGCGGUGAAAUGCUUAGAGAUCAUAAAGAACACCGAUUGCGAAGGCAGCUUACUAAGCUACAUCUGACGUUGAGGCACGAAAGCGUGGGGAGCAAACAGGAUUAGAUACCCUAGUAGUC